rnacentral:lncRNA from 1 species
CUAGCUAGGCUCUCGUGGUGUGCAUGCAGCUAGCCGAACUCGAUCGAGCUCGUCGACGGCCAUGGACAGCACCGCGUUCUUGCCUGAAAUACCCAAGCAGCAGCAGCGUUGGAGACUGCUUCACGCCAGCGGCCUCCCUUCUUCCUUCCCGCCGUUUUGGCGUUUUCAAAUCGCAAGCAACUUCUCCCAGCCAAGUGUUAAUUUCCCGCCAGAUUUAUAUAUAGCGCCAACACCACCACAAGGCACAAGCUUCGAUUCAGUCAUCAGCAA